CAUGCAAGUCGAUACGAGCUUCCGUUGAAUGACGUGCUUGCACUGAUUUCAACAAUGAAGCGAGUGGCGAACUGGUGAGUAACACGUGGGAAAUCUGCCCAGAAGCAGGGGAUAACACUUGGAAACAGGUGCUAAUACCGUAUAACAACAAAAUCCGCAUGGAUUUUGUUUGAAAGGUGGCUUCGGCUAUCACUUCUGGAUGAUCCCGCGGCGUAUUAGUUAGUUGGUGAGGUAAAGGCCCACCAAGACGAUGAUACGUAGCCGACCUGAGAGGGUAAUCGGCCACAUUGGGACUGAGACACGGCCCAAACUCCUACGGGAGGCAGCAGUAGGGAAUCUUCCACAAUGGACGAAAGUCUGAUGGAGCAAUGCCGCGUGAGUGAAGAAGGGUUUCGGCUCGUAAAACUCUGUUGUUAAAGAAGAACACCUUUGAGAGUAACUGUUCAAGGGUUGACGGUAUUUAACCAGAAAGCCACGGCUAACUACGUGCCAGCAGCCGCGGUAAUACGUAGGUGGCAAGCGUUGUCCGGAUUUAUUGGGCGUAAAGCGAGCGCAGGCGGUUUUUUAAGUCUGAUGUGAAAGCCUUCGGCUUAACCGGAGAAGUGCAUCGGAAACUGGGAGACUUGAGUGCAGAAGAGGACAGUGGAACUCCAUGUGUAGCGGUGGAAUGCGUAGAUAUAUGGAAGAACACCAGUGGCGAAGGCGGCUGUCUAGUCUGUAACUGACGCUGAGGCUCGAAAGCAUGGGUAGCGAACAGGAUUAGAUACCCUGGUAGUCCAUGCCGUAAACGAUGAGUGCUAAGUGUUGGAGGGUUUCCGCCCUUCAGUGCUGCAGCUAACGCAUUAAGCACUCCGCCUGGGGAGUACGACCGCAAGGUUGAAACUCAAAGGAAUUGACGGGGGCCCGCACAAGCGGUGGAGCAUGUGGUUUAAUUCGAAGCUACGCGAAGAACCUUACCAGGUCUUGACAUCUUCUGCCAAUCUUAGANAUAAGAACGUUCCCUUCGGGGACAGAAUGACAGGUGGUGCAUGGUUGUCCUCACCUCGGGUCGNGAGAAGUUGGGGUUAAGUCCCGCAACAACNCCAACCCUUAUUAUCAGUUGCCAGCAUUCAGUUGGGCCCUUCUGGUGAGACUGCCGGUGA
rnacentral:rRNA from 1 species